rnacentral:lncRNA from 1 species
GGAUCACCUGAGGUCAGGAGUUCCAGACCAGCCUGGCUAACAUGACGAAACUCCGUUUCUACUAAAAAUACAAAAAAAUUAGCCAGGCGUGGUGGCACGCACCUGUAAUCCCAGCUACUUGGGAGGCUGAGGCAGAAUUGCUUGAACCCAGGAGGCGGAGGUUGCAGUGAGCCAAGAUUGCGCCAUUGCACUCCACUUGGGCAACAAGAGCAAAACUCCAUCUCAACAACAACAACAAAAGCACUCAAGUAAUGUUGAAGCUUUUAAGCUGAAUGAUGAAUACACACAUGAUCACUGUAUUGGGCUCUAUAGCUUGUUACUAGGAAAAGGGGUAUCUCACUGAGCUCUGGUGUGGGGAGGGGCAGGCAGAUAGGGGCAGGGGGCUGAACAAGGCUUUUGAGGACAUGUCCCCUGCACUGAAAUCAGAAGAACUAACGGGCAGCAGCCAGGCCAAGAAAGCUGGGCUUAAAGAUAUGUUCAUGGAUCUAGGGGCAGAAAAAGUAUCUCGACAGAGGUAACAACAGCAAUGGCUUGAAGGCAGGCGAAAGCAUGAGGAAUCAAGGAAACAAAUUAUAUCAAAGUAUUACCACCAUAGGACAAAAUGUUAAUUUGGCUCCAUCCCAGCUAGAUACUAAAAAGCUAGUACAAACAUGCUAAUGCAACAGUGAGCAUAUAUUUAGGAAAAUAAAAAAACUAAGGAGGAGAAAGACUCACCAACCAAGAAACCAAAGCAAAUAUCCAGCUAAAUAAUCCCUAGAUUUUAACAUUUCCAAUUAAUAUAGCUAUAACAUUUUUAAAAAUUAAAUACUACGCUGCAAGAAAAAUGAGAACUCAAGAUACUAAAGAAUUCAUAAGAAUACAAUGUGAAAGAUCAGAUAUUUUGAAUUACAUAAUGUUGAUAAAUUCUGAGCCAGUAUCAUGAGUGGCACUGUAGUGAAAUGAGGACAUUGACAAAAACUGGCUCUGCUGAUGCAGAAACAUUAGGAGAGACCUCAAAGCCACGUGUGAUAAGGAGGUAUUAGAUUUAAGAAUGUGGCUCCUGGCAGUGCAAUGAGAAAAAAGGUCCUCAACACCUUCCCAUGAGGAGGCCUUCGUAAAAAAUGACAGUUCUAAGAGGGGCUUUCAAAACAAGGAUUGACAAGAUGAUCCCUAAAGUAUCUGAGUUGGGGAAAGAGGAGGAUUUAGAAAAACAAGACUCCAU